GCUAAUACCGGAUAACAACAGAUGAUGCCUAUCAACUGUUUAAAAGAUGGUUCUGCUAUCACUCUUGGAUGGACCUGCGGUGCAUUAGCUAGUUGGUAGGGUAACGGCCUACCAAGGCGAUGAUGCAUAGCCGAGUUGAGAGACUGAUCGGCCACAUUGGGACUGAGACACGGCCCAAACUCCUACGGGAGGCAGCCAGUG
rnacentral:rRNA from 1 species